GACGAACGCUGGCGGCGUGCCUAAUACAUGCAAGUAGAACGCUGAAGAGAGGAGCUUGCUCUUCUUGGAUGAGUUGCGAACGGGUGAGUAACGCGUAGGUAACCUGCCUGGUAGCGGGGGAUAACUAUUGGAAACGAUAGCUAAUACCGCAUAAAAUGAAUUAUCGCAUGAUAAUCCAUUGAAAGGUGCAAAUGCAUCACUACCAGAUGGACCUGCGUUGUAUUAGCUAGUUGGUGGGGUAACGGCUCACCAAGGCGACGAUACAUAGCCGACCUGAGAGGGUGAUCGGCCACACUGGGACUGAGACACGGCCCAGACUCCUACGGGAGGCAGCAGGAGGGAAUCUUCGGCAAUGGACGGAAGUCUGACCGAGCAACGCCGCGUGAGUGAAGAAGGUUUUCGGAUCGUAAAGCUCUGUUGUAAGAGAAGAACGAGUGUGAGAGUGGAAAGUUCACACUGUGACGGUAUCUUACCAGAAAGGGACGGCUAACUACGUG
rnacentral:rRNA from 1 species